CCUACGGGAGGCUGCAGUGGGGAAUAUUGGGCAAUGGGCGCAAGCCUGACCCAGCAACGCCGCGUGAAGGAAGAAGGCUCUCGGGUUGUAAACUUCUUUUAUCAGGGACGAAGCAAGUGACGGUACCAUAUGAAUAAGGAUCGGCUAACUCCGUGCCAGCAGCCGCGGUAAUACGGAGGAUCCGAGCGUUAUCCGGAUUUAUUGGGUGUAAAGGGCGUGUAGGCGGGAAAGCAAGUCAGAUGUGAAAACCAUGGGCUCAACCUGUGGCCUGCAUUUGAAACUGUUUUUCUUGAGUACUGGAGAGGCAGACGGAAUUCCUAGUGUAGCGGUGAAAUGCGUAGAUAUUAGGAGGAACACCAGUGGCGAAGGCGGUCUGCUGGACAGCAACUGACGCUGAGGCGCGAAAGCGUGGGGAGCAAACAGGAUUAGAUACCCCGGUAGUC
rnacentral:rRNA from 1 species